AUCCAGACAAAAAAAACCAUUCAUACCAAGGGAGAAGUAUGAAUGGUCAAUACAUUGCGGGAAAACGUCUUACUGUCUUGGGCUGCCUCAAGGGAGAAAAGGCAACCGCUGCCAGUGCUUUGCAUUCUAAACCCAGUUAGCUUUAAAUGGGGUUAAUCUGUGCAAUUAUUUUCAUUUUUUACGUUCA
rnacentral:ncRNA from 1 species